GAUCGGGUUGGGUGGUCCGCCUUUGCGGCGUGUUUACUGCCCGACUGGGUCUUGCUUCUUGGUGAACCGUGGUGCUCUUUAUUGAACGCCGCGUGCGAACCAGGACUUUUACCUUGAGAAAAUUAGAGUGUUCAAAGCAGGCCUGCUUGCCUGGAUACAUUAGCAUGGAAUAAUGAAAUAGGGCUUCAGUUCUAUUUUGUUGGUUUUCAGAAUCCGAAGCA
rnacentral:rRNA from 1 species